GAUGAAGAACGUAGCGAAAUGCGAUAAGUAAUGCGAAUUGCAGAAUUCAGUGAAUCAUCGAAUCUUUGAACGCACAUUGCGCCCUUUGGUAUUCCGAAGGGCAUGCCUGUUCGAGCGUCAUUACACCCCUCAAACCCUUCGGUUUGAUGUUGGGCGAGGCCUGAUCAAAGGGCCCGCCUUAAAAUCAGUGACGGUGAACUUCUCCACCUCGGGCGUACAAAUAUCGCGAUGUAGGGGAGGGUGAGCCGGUUAUUAUUUGAUUGUUCAAUCAAUCAAAUUCUCAAUGUUGACCUCGGAUCAGGUAGGGAUACCCGCUGAACUUAAGCAUAUCAAUAAGCGGAGGA
rnacentral:misc_RNA from 1 species